rnacentral:rRNA from 1 species
UACGGGGGGGGUAAGCGUUGUUCGGAAUUACUGGGCGUAACGGGCUCGUAGGCGGCCAACUAAGUCAGACGUGAAAUCCCUCAGCUUAACUGGGGAACUGCGUCUGAUACUGGAUGGCUUGGAUCCGGGAGAGGGAUGCGGAAUUCCAGGUGUAGCGGUGAAAUGCGUAGAUAUCUGGAGGAACACCGGUGGCGAAGGCGGCAUCCUGGACCGGUAUUGACGCUGAGGAGCGAAAGCCAGGGGAGCAAACGGG